UACGUAGGGCGCAAGCGUUGUCCGGAAUUAUUGGGCGUAAAGAGCUCGUAGGCGGUUUGUCGCGUCUGUCGUGAAAGCUUGGGGCUUAACCCCAAGUCUGCGGUGGAUACGGGCAGACUAGAGGCAGGUAGGGGAGAACGGAAUUCCUGGUGUAGCGGUGAAAUGCGCAGAUAUCAGGAGGAACACCGGUGGCGAAGGCGGUUCUCUGGGCAUGUCCUGACGCUGAGGAGCGAAAGUGUGGGGAGCGAACAGG
rnacentral:rRNA from 1 species